rnacentral:rRNA from 1 species
CGCCUGUUUAUCAAAAACAUCUCUUCUCGUUAGUUUUUGAAGUAUGGCCUGCCCACUGACCUUGAAUGUUGAAGGGCCGCGGUAUUUUGACCGUGCAAAGGUAGCAUAGUCAUUAGUUCUUUAAUUGUGAUCUGGUAUGAAUGGCUUGACGAGGCAUAAGCUGUCUUAAUUUUGAAUUGUUUAUUGAAUUUGGUCUUUGAGUUAAAAUUCUUAGAUGUUUUUAUGGGACGAGAAGACCCUAUAGAGUUUGACAUUUAUUAUGGUCUCUUUCUGUUUGUGAGGGUUCACUAGGGCUGUUUAAUAUGUUUUGUUGGGGUGAUGGGAGGGAUAUUAUUUAACCCCUCCUUUGUGUUGUUAUAUUUAUUUAUAUUUUCUUGAUCCAUUUAUUUUGAUUGUAAGAUUAAAUUACCUUAGGGAUAACAGCGUAA